UACAGAGGGGGCUAGCGUUAUUCGGAAUUAUUGGGCGUAAAGGGCUCGUAGGCGGCCACGCGUGUCUUUCGUGAAAUCCCUCGGCUUAACUGAGGACGUGCGGAAGAAACUGCGAGGCUUGAGUCCGGGAGAGGGGGGUGGAAUUCCCAGUGUAGCGGUGAAAUGCGUAGAGAUGGGGGAGAACACUCGUGGCGAAGGCGGCCAGCUAGACCAGUUCUGACACUGAGGCGCGACAGCGUGGGGAGCAAACAGG
rnacentral:rRNA from 1 species